UACGUAGGCAGCGAGCGUUGUUCGGAGUUACUGGGCGUAAAGGGUGUGUAGGCGGUUGUUUAAGUUUGGUGUGAAAUCUCCCGGCUCAACUGGGAGGGUGCGCCGAAUACUGGAGGGCUAGAGUGCGGGAAGGGAGAGUAGAAUUCCUGGUGUAGCGGUGAAAUGCGUAGAUAUCAGGAGGAAUACCGGUGGUGCAGACGGCUCUCUGGACCGCGACUGACGCUGAGACACGAAAGCGUGGGUAGCAAACAGG
rnacentral:rRNA from 1 species